GGCGGCUCUGGGGGCGGGGCCGGGCCGGGCCGGGCCGCCGCGGAGCGGCGCCAUGGCUCCAGCCCUGGGGCUGGGGGUGCUCUGGGGGCUCCUGGAGCUCCUGUGGGACCCGGGGAGCGCGACCAAAGUUCUCCACUCCCUGCGUUACCUGGCUGUGGCGGUGUCAGAGUCCAGCCCAGGGGUCCCCCAGUUCAUGGCCACCGGGUACCUGGAUGGGAUCCCCUUCACGCGCUACGACAGCGAGCGGGGCCGGGCGGAGCCGCUGACGCAGUGGAUGAAGGACGGAGUCAAGCCGGAAGAUUGGGAGAGGGGGACCCAGAUUGCUGUGGGGACCCAGCAGGUGUUUGCCAGGGGCCUGGAGACACUGCGGGAGCGGUACAACCAGAGCAGGGGUCUUCACACAUGGCUGCGAGUUUCCAGCUGUGAGCUCCUGUCCGAUGGGAGUGUCCAUGGAUACUACCGGGUCGGCUACGACGGGCGGGAUUUCAUCUCCUUUGACCUGGGAUCCGAGAGAUUCAUGCCGGCCGACAGCGUUGCUGAGAUCACCAGGAGGCGCUGGGAAAAGGAAGAGGUGGCUGAGGGGUUCACAAAUUACCUGAGGCAUGAAUGCCCAGAAUGGCUCCGGAAAUACGUCGGGUAUAGGGAGAAGGAGCUGGAGCGCAAAGAGGCCCCUGAUGUCCAUGUGUCGGGAAGAGAGGAACACGGGACGCUGAUCCUGUCCUGCCACGCGUACGGAUUCUACCCCAACACCAUCGCAGUCAGCUGGAUGAAGGGGGGUGAAACCUUGGAUCAGGAGACGGAGCGGGGCGGGAUCGUUCCCAACAGCGACGGCACCUUCCACACCUGGGCCAGGAUCGAGGCGCUGCCGGAGGAGCGGGAGCAGUACCGGUGCAGGGUGGAGCAUCCCGGAAUGCCAGAGCCCGGGAUCUUCGCUUGGGAGCCAACAUCUGGCGGGAAUCUCACCGUGGUGGUCGCUGUGUCUCUCAUCGCUGCCAUCCUCAUCCUCAUCCUCAUCCUCAUUGGAUUCGGCGUCUGGAAGCUCCAAUCUGGGAGGAGGGACGGGAAUGGAUACAACCUGGCAGCUGGAAAAGAUGUGGGAACCAACGGCUUGAGCACAGACAGUUACAAUGCAAGUUGACCUAAUUGGUCCUUCAAUCAAAACCCAUCACCAUUGGCUAAUUAAGAAACCACCCUCUGAGACUUUCUCCAGAAAGGCCUGAGGAAGUUGUGUGUUGCUCUCUGUGGCCAGAGAGCUGCUGCCACAAUUGAAUCACCGCCUGAGCAAUCCACGGAGCUGGACAUGGCCCCUUCCCUCUUCCCAGGGCAAGCCGAGAGCUGCCAGCAGUGUGGAAUCCUCAGGAUCUUUCCCCCUCAGGGAAUUCCCCAGAGCUCUCUGCUGGAGAGGCUUGCCAUAGAGUUUCCCCACCUGGGCAGACAGAAAAGACCUCCCCAUGGAGUCUUGCACAUCACUGACUGUCCUAGGGUGGCGUUAGGAUGUUUGUAUCACCAUUCAUGUGUGUAAUUUAUGCUGGAUAUUAUGUUCUAUGCCUUUAAAACUGGCUCUGCAGAGUGAAAGUUUUGUUUUGGGCCUCUUAUCAGCCACUCGGCGGGACAUACAGAUAGUACAGUACAUAGUGCUGUUUUUUGCUUUUUGCCCUUCUUUUCACUUUGCUCUUGCUUCUGCUCUGCUUCUGCUUGCUCUUGCUUUCUACUUCUUCUCAUUAGUUAGUUUAGCUAAACAGUCCAAAUUUCUUCCCGGACUGUUUCCCCUUUCCUGUUUGGAUUUACCUGAACCUGCUCCGGACUGGGACCUGAGAAACACUGAGAGAGAGUUUGCACCCUGUGGCUGCAGCAGCUGCCCCAACACCAGAGGGACUGAUAACAGAGCGACCACCCCAGGAAAGACUUUCUGAAUUUGUCAUCUUUUUCAGAGUGGUGAAAGAGUGGUGUCAUCCAGUAUUGUUCAUUGUGUGUGCAGUGCCUGUUAAAUAAACAGGUUCUUUCCACCUC